rnacentral:lncRNA from 1 species
AUGACGCAGCGCUUGUAACUGGAGCCUAAAGACUUGGUGGGGUGUGUGCGCGCGAGGCGCGGGGUGAGCUGUUCCCUGAACGCGAGGCUGCCUGGGGCCGGUGCAACCUGCAGACCUGCAGACCUCGGCCGCUGCUUGCACUUCUGACCUCCCCUCCGCCCUGGAUGAGAACAUUCGGCUGUUUCCAUGUGAGGAGCAGACACGGAGUGACCCUGAGAAUGGCUGGGGAACGCCGCAGGCCAUGGGGGCGCAGGGCCCAGUGCACUGUCAUCAAUCAGGAGUGACGGCUCCCUCCCCGCCCCAGCCGGGCCACCUGAUUUAACCUUGUGCACAGAUGUCAGGUUAGCAUUCUAGGAAAGCUGCGGGACGAGGGCCGUGGGUGUCGGGAAUCGUUUUAUUAAGAAAGAAACCACGAAUCUGGCAUUCUUCCUCUGAAGGGGAAGCAGAAAGCAAUGCCUGCAUCACCUGGGCAGAUGCACUUGGCUUCAUUUGCCCCUCAAGUACUUUUUUAAAAAGGAUUUUAUUUAUCGGGGCGCCUGGGGGGCUCAGGCAGUGAGGCCUCGGCCUUAAGGCUCAGAUCAUGAUCCCGGGGUCCUGGGAUCGAGUCCAGCGUCGGGCUCUCCACCCAGCAUGGAGCCCGCUUCUCCCCUGCCUCUGCCUGCCCGAGCCGAGGGAGCAGCAGAGGGAGACAGAGGGAGAAGCCAGCUCCCCAGUGAGCAGGUGAUGCUGGACUCAAUCCCGGGACUCCGGGAUCAGGACCUGAGCCGAAGGCCUGAUGCCUCACCGACUGAGGCCCCCAGGCGCCCCCCAUAAGUCCUCUUUGCUCGCUUUUCUGCAGAUGCUAGGCACGCUGCUGGACCCUGAGGACACACAGAGACAAAUCAGACACACUAUCCGCCCUCCAGAAGCUCAGCAGAGGGCAGGAGGAGCAGCAAAGACCUGGACACAGAUCCCUAAAUGACUGAUGUCAAGGCCAUGGUGAAGAAUGGGCUUAUCAGAGAGCAAAACGGGGACAAUACCCGAAACUGUGAGAUCUACACGGAGGAGAAACCACCAGCCACCGUGAAGGAAAGGGUCCCAGCCUGGACCAGCACGAAGGUGCCCGCCAGCUACCCCUCUCUCUCUCUGGUUUCUGCUGGGCCUCCUGAUGGCCAGCCCCACGCAACCCUGAGGGAAGAGAGCCCUCCUGGAGUAGUCCUCACGGGCAGCAGCCAGGGCCAGACAGCAGGUGCAGAAGGGCAGAGAGUGAAUUUGAGGAUCAAGUGGAAGAUCCCAGGCCUAAGAGUACACCUGCCCUACAGAAUCUUGGCAACGAUGGACGGAGAUGAUAUACGGGACACACUAGAAAUAGUGUCUAGUGCUCAAAAAUUAUUACCUGUUGUUAUUUUAACACAUGCAUUUAUUUAUCCAAUAAAUGUUCAUUGGGAACUUCGUGGCUCUAGCCACCGUGUGAACAUGAACGGUGCUCCAGGGAGGCUCGCCACCCAGCUGCGCUCCUAA